GACCCUUGACAUGGGAAGUUUGGGCUUGAGAGAUCAGGUCCUUCAGUUCGGCUGGCUUCCACACAGGUGCUGCAUGGCUGUCGUCAGCUCGUGUCGUGAGAUGUUGGGUUAAGUCCCGCAACGAGCGCAACCCUCGCCUUCAGUUGCCAUCACUUCUAGGUGGGCACUCUGAAGGAACUGCCGGUGACAAGCCGGAGGAAGGUGGGGAUGACGUCAAGUCCUCAUGGCCCUUACGGGUCGGGCUACACACGUGCUACAAUGGCGACUACAGUGGGAUGCUAAGGAGCGAUCCGGAGCCAAUCCAUAAAAGUCGUCUCAGUUCGGAUUGCAGUCUGCAACUCGGCUGCAUGAAGUCGGAAUCGCUAGUAAUCGUGGAUCAGCACGCCACGGUGAAUACGUUCCGCGGGCACU
rnacentral:rRNA from 1 species